AAGUUUCAACAGCCCACGUGUGUUUUGUUGCGACAUCAAAGGUGUAUUCGAAACGCUGUUCGCGAACGAGGAACAGUCGGAGAACACGUUAUGGGAAGUCUCGAAUACCACGGAACACGUUCGCGAACGCGUUCUUGUUCUCAAAACUCACACUACCUCGAUAGUGGGUGUGAUGAAGAACAAACAUGGCGGAGGAGGCAGGUUCUCGUACCAAGUAAGUUUCUAUUUUAAGUAUUAUUGCCAAUGUCCAAGGAUACUACUACGGGGGCGAUAGCAGCUGAUGGGGAAACUGAUAGGGAAGAUAUGCAUUUGUGAAAAUGUAAUUAAUGUGUAUAGAAUUUCUCAUUUUGCGCGACAAACCUGCGAUCGGACAGCAAGUGGAGCAGUGAAAUAAAAUUAAAAAGUUUCUGAAACAUUUUCGUGGCAAAGCAAAGGCUAAAUAACACCGUUUUAUUUUUCCUUUUGUAUAGAAAAAGACUUAAUGCUAGAUGACUGCCAAUAGUAUUAUUAUUUGACAAUACUGUAUGACAGCAUGUAUUUAUCAUAUCAUAUACAGUAUAUAGGCCUAGGCCUAUGAUUUCUUAUUUAUAUUCCACAAAAAUACAAAAGCCAUACUUUUCUCUGUCUUAUUCUUUCUUUAUGUUAAUUUUAGCAUGAGGGAUGUCACAAUAAAAUACGAAGAUGAUGUGGAAAUUACCUUCAGAGUAGAUUUACCAACUUAUGAACAGAUUUUGAAUAAUGAUACUAAACUUAUCAAUAACAUGCGUAAAAGAUGUUUAGAAGCCUUUGGAAAUCAGGACACUCAACAGAAAUAACCUGUUUCUGAAGAAAAGACUGCCGACCCACCAAAUCCUUCAACCAGUGACAUUGAUCAGCCAGUUAUUGAUAAGACGCCAGCUCGAAAUGUUCCAAAGAUUUGGGAUAGCUGCGAGACAAAACUUCUGGUAAGCCUACGUGUUGAAAGACAACCAGUCUUUGACAAAGGAAAAAGAUCACACAAGACCCUCUGGGCAGAAAUUGCGGCAGAAAUGGCUAAA